GGUUAGAAAGUGUUAAACGGCACCCUAACUCCUCUACUUUUGACAUUGUGCCAGGACAUUUUAACAUGGCAUCAUCUCAAAUUAAAACUAGAAGCUAUCCCUAGUGUCUUCAUUUUCAUUUAUGGACUGCUAGAUUUGGGAAUUUGGUUCUGUUCCUUUUAAGAUGGUGUACUCCUUUAAGAAACCAGAUUUAGAUAUAUAUCCUUUAAAAUCCUGCAGCUUCAGGGAAGUACAGAUCCAGAUUUUGGGGUGUAAACUCAUAUUUUCUUGAAAUAAUUUGCAACUAUCAUUAUAAUGCAUCUACCGUUUAAAGUUACCACUGAUGACUGUUUAAAAUCAAGCAGAAAAGCAAAGACAUCUUUGAUGGAUUAUCAAGUUCUCCACAUAGCAUAGGAUUGCAAAACGACACCAUACCACUUAUCUUUCAGCCCCAUUAAGUUUAAGGCGAUGAAAUUGCUUUAAAGACUUUUGACAACUUUGGCUAGAUUCUUUCUAUCCCCUUUACCACUUCUACUUAGCCAUUGUCACCAUUUUGUCAGAAAUUAAUUCUGUUAGUGGUGAGGUUGGUAGGGAUGUCAAACUGCUUUAAAAGGCUGGUAGUUGGAUAUGUAAGUAUCAGUUUGCAUCUGGAACUUUCUUAAAGUAUCACCAGCAUUCCCUUUUAACCCAAAACAUUCAUCCAUAAGCCCUAAACUGUAUCUUAUUUAAGAAGUAUGCAUGUAUUGUAAUUGUACCAGGGCCAAAUGAAAGAAGAUGGGCCUCUGCCAUGAGGGUGGUUUUCAUAAUUGCAACUCUUUUGAUAUCAGACUAGUGAUUUUCAUUAGUUUAAUAGAAAGAUACUUGAAUCCUUUCCAGGAGCUGUUUAAUGAAUUACCCAGACUACCUCAACUGUUACAACAGCAGCAAAAUCACCAGUGGCCAGAUUCAAUAGCAGCAUUAAAUAGAUCUGCUCUUAGAUUGCUAGGAGUCACAUUGCUAAACAAGCAAUGCCGCAAGUAAGUUAGCAAAGAUGGUGGGGCAGAAGUUCUACAUGAUGAUAUACAUAUGUUCUGUGCUGACUGAAAUCAAUUUACGCUCAAGCUGAAUAAGCUACAUCCUUGCCUAUGUGCCAGUUUAUAUGCAAAUAUAAAAGUUUAUUCUUUCUAUCGCUGUUGCCUUUUCUGUUAGAAUAAUGCACUUUUUUUGGUAAUGCUACGGGACCUCUUAAACUUGACAACACUUCGGACCUCAGCAAGCCUUAGGCUGUGUAUACAUUACUGUUUACUCUGGGUUCACUGCACUCCCAAUGCUGUUUGUUUGAAGCUGAGAACACAUCACCCGCAAUCCAUAUGUGUCCUGUAACUUCUUGAGAAAUGCUCAUUUUUGAUGUGCUUCCCCUCAAACCAAUUUCCAUCCAAUUAAAACAUGGAAGCAGCGGUUAAGCUGUAGUGUGUUCAUUUCCCAAAAAUCCAGGGAUGUUAAUACCAAUAUACUCAUUUAUCCGUCCUUACACUACAGGCUUUGUUUCUCAUUCAUCCUCUUUUGCUCGGUUAUGAAGAGGUUGUAGUUCUUCUAGCCAAGAACCUCAGGGUCAAAGUUCAGGGUCCCUGCCCUGGCCUCCACAAUGGGUGGUCUGCCCCGGCUGUUCCCCAUGGCCUGUGCACUGAGCCUUUCAGCCUCCAAGUCCACUCACUAGCUCCUUGUGGGUGUAACCACUUUCUGCUUCCUGCCUGUUGCCACUGCUGGCUUUCUGUGCCCCCAGUUUUGUGCUACACAGCUGUUGUACAGGUGUGCUUUUAGAAACCAUGUAUUGACAGAGCCCACAAAUCUGGGGGUAUGAGCCAGAAUAACAAUAAAAAAUACAGUCAAAUUUGUAUAAAUCACAAGAGAGUUGCAUGGUAUCAAACAGAGAUGGCUAGAAGGCCUGGUUGAGCCUCUUGUUCUGAGGCCUCCUACAGAAGAUGUAUGGCCACACAAUUUCACACAGCCUUUAGAACAGGCUUCCUCAACCUCAGCCCUCCAGAUGUUUUGAGACUACAAUUCCCAUCAUCCCUGACCACUGGUUCUGCUAGCUAGGGAUCAUAGGAGUCGUAGGCCAAAAACAUCUGGAGGGCCGAGGUUGAGGAAGCCUGCUUCAGAACAUUGCAGUAAUGACCUUAUUGGGAAUAUAUAGUAACUCCCCUUAAAACACCAGGAUGAACGGCCAUUAUUCAUCUUCCCAAAGCUGCAAGCUUAGUUUUGCAAUAGCACUGAAGUUCCUAGUUCAGGGGCUGGUUAUUCAAAUUAUACUGAACUGUCUGUCUAUGAUAAUUCGUGGGAUUGUUUGAAAAACCAGUUUUGUGCUUUUAAGAUGAAUACUUCCUCAAAAUUAGCCACAUGGAACUUUAGGCCUUGUUAUUGCUUUCCAUUUUUUUAUUUUUUGGCUCUGUUGCACAUUACCUCAAACCCAGCCUCAUACAUGUGUUUUCCAGUUUAACUGAUAUUUUCCAGCAUUAGUUUAUAAUAACCACAUGGAAGACUUUCACAUCAGCAGAGUUCUUGUUAACUGUUUAAUUCAGUGAAUGGAGAUCUGCAGAAAUGACUUAAUGACACCUGCACACUGAACCGUACUUUCAAUAGUUGAAAGUAUAAAAUGUAUAGCAAAUUAAUAUUUCUCAUUUCCCAGUCAUUCACACUUUAUCUCUGCUUAACUUCUACUUGCAAACAAAGUAAAACAAAAUAAUUCAUAUCAUAUAGUAGAAUAUUGUUGUUGUUUAGUCGUUUAGUCGUGUCCGACUCUUCGUGACCCCAUGGACCAGAGCACGCCAGGCACUCCUAUCUUUCACUGCCUCCCGCAGUUUGGUCAGACUCCUGUUUGUAGCUUUGAGAACGCUGUCCAACCAUCUUGUCCUCUGUUGUCCCCUUCUUCUUGUGCCCUCAAUCUUUCCCAACAUCAGGGUCUUUUCCAGGAAGUCUUCUCUUCUCAUGAGGUGGCCAAAGUAUUGGAGCCUCAGCUUCAUGAUCUGUCCUUCCAGUGAGCACUCAGGGCUGAUUUCCUUAAGAAUGGAUACGUUUGAUCUUCUUGCAGUCCUUGGGACUCUCAAGAGUCUCCUCCAGCACCAUAAUUCAAAAGCAUCAAUUCUUCAGCGAUCAGCCUUCUUUAUGGUCCAGCUCUCACUUCUAUACAUCACUACUGGGAAAACCAUGGCUUUAACUAUAUGGACCUUUGUUGGUAAGGUGAUGUCUCUGCUUUUUAAGAUGCUGUCUAGGUUUGCCAUCGCCUUUCUCCCAAGGAGCAGGUGUCUUUUAAUUUCGUGACUGCUGUCACCAUCUGCAGUGAUCAUGGAGCCCAAGAAAGUAAAAUCUCUCACUGCCUCCAUUUCUUCCCCUUCUAUUUGCCAGGAGGUGAUGGGCCCAGUGGCCAUGAUCUUCGUUUUUUUUGAUGUUGAGCUUCAGACCAUAUUUUGCGCUCACCUCUUUCACCCUCAUUAAGAGGUUCUUUAAUUCCUCCUCACUUUCUGCCAUCAAAGUUGUGUCAUCUGCAUAUCUGAGGUUGUUGAUAUUUCUUCCGGCAAUCUUAAUUCCGGCUUGGGAUUCAUCAAGCCCAGCCAAUAGUAGAAUAUUAAAACACUAC
rnacentral:lncRNA from 1 species